UCUUUUGGCGUUGCUAUGCCGUCUAGUGAAUGGCUGGGCUCAAGAACCGAUGAAGGACGUGCCAAGCUGCGAUAAGCCAUGGGGAGGCGCAAGGAACCGUUGAUCCGUGGAUCUCCUAAUAGGAACUCCUAACACUUUUUGUGUUGACCCGAUAAGGGUUGGGAACGCCCUGAGUUGAAACAUCUGCGUAGGGGCAGGAAGAGAAAACAAACUUUGUGAUGCUGUUAGUAACGGCGAGUGAACACAGCACAGCCUAAACUGAAUCCCUCCUUGUAAGAGGAAGGGAGAUGUGGUGUUUUAAGCCCGCUUUUUAAAUCGGCCAGAUAUAAGAUUAAGUCCCCUGGAACGGGGUACCGUAGAGGGUGAUAGUCCCGUAGUCGCUAUCUGGUGGUUGUAGCGUGUGCUUGAGUACCGUGGGUCGGAAAUCUCGCGGGAAUAUUGGGGGACACUUACCUCCAAGGCUAAAAAUAUCUUGAGACCGAUAGCGCAAUAGUAGAGUGAUCGAAAGCUGAAAAGCACCCUGAGAAGGGAGGUUAAAAGAGCCUGAAACGAGACGGCGAUGGAGGGACAAGGCAUUAAAGGAUCUUCCACUUGAAGGAAGCAACCGCGAGGUUGUUGUACGAGAGUGGUUGCCAAUGUUUUGUCGUACGUUUUGAAGAACGGGCCAAGGAGUGUACUCGAAUGGCGAGGCUAACCCAGUAGUGGGGGAGUCGUAGGGAAACCAACAAGCCUGCAAGCAAUGAGAGGCGACGUAUACAAGUGCGUGGAGUCAUUAGGGUACGACCCGAAACCAGGUGAUCUAGACGUGGGCAGAUUGAAGCGUAACGAAAGUUACGUGGAGGAUCGUUAGGGGUUUUGACGUGCAAAUCAUUCCCGUGACCUACGCCUAGGGGUGAAAGUCCAAUCGAACUUGGAAACAGCUGGUUCCUCCAGAAACAUAUCGUAGUAUGACCUCACACGAGGCCGGAGGCCGAGUAGAGCACUGAUUAAGGGAGCCGGGCGGGAAACUGCUCGUCCUUUUGUCAAACUCCAAAGCGGCUUUCGCUGUAGACUGUGGGCAGUCCGGGCUGGGGGGUAAGCUUCUAGUCCGUAAGGGAGACAACCCAGACCUGGGUUAAGGUCCCUAAUUGUAGGCUAAGUGUAAACACUGAAGGGCGUCCCAAGCCCUAGACAACUGGGAGGUGAGCUUAGAAGCAGCUACCCUUUAAAAAUAGCGUAACAGCUUACCAGUCGAGGUUUGGGGCCCCGAAAAUGGACGGGGCUCAAGCCUACAACCGAGACCCAGGCGUACCGAGAGGUAAUCGCGUAUGGAGGCGUUCCGGGUGGGUAGAAGCAAGGCUGUAAAGUCUUGUGGACCACCUGGAAACGAAAAUCUUGGCAUUAGUAGCAGCUUAGCAAGGUGAGAAUCCUUGCCGCCGAAAGGGCCAGGUUUCCUCGGCAAUGAUCGUCAGCCGAGGGUUAGUCGGUCCUAAGAUACAUCUUAACCGGAAUGUGUCAAAAGGGAAACAGGUUAAUAUUCCUGUACUCUUGCAUAGUGAAACCAACGCUUCAGGUUAACAUUUGCAGGCUCGUCUGCCUGUUCAAGCUAAUAGCCUCGUGGAGAACCGUAAUGGUGAGAAGCGGGGUAACAUGUGAUGACGUAAGAAAUGCCACCCUGGAGCCCAUGAAAAGGGAAUGCAAGAACCGUACCGAGAUCCGACACAGGUGCCCCUAGUUUAGUAGACUAAGGCGUGUCGGUUUACCGUGGCCAAGGGAAUUCGGCAAAUUAGCCCCGUAACUUCGGGAUAAGGGGUGCCUGCCAUGAAGAUGGCAGGUCGCAGUGACGAGGGAGCGCUGACUGUCUAAUAACAACAUAGCUGAUCGCCAAACUGUAAAGUCUAGUACGAUCAGUGAAUCCUGCCCAGUGCAGGUACCUGAAAACCUCGUUCAAGGGGAAGAAGGGCCUGUCAACGGCGGGGGUAACUAUAACCCUCUUAAGGUAGCGUAGUACCUUGCCGCUUAAUUGGCGGCUUGCAUGAAUGGAUCAACGAGCGCUCUACUGUCCCUGGCCACGCGCCGGUGAACUUUACAUCCUAGUGCAGAGUCUAGGGACCCCUAAUGGGAAGUGAAGACCCCGUGGAGCUUUACUGCAACCUGUCGCUGGGUUGUGGCCCUGGAUGUGCAGCGUAGGUAGGACCCGUCGAAACCAAGACGCUAGUUUUGGUGGAGGGGCUCAUGAGACACUACCCUUCUUGGACUACGACCCUAACUCAGAGAUGAGGACCCCGAUAGGUGGGCAGUUUGGCUGGGGCGGCACGCCCGCGAAAAAAUAUCGAGGGCGCUCUAAGGUCAACUCAAUCGAGUCAGAAACUCGACCGAGAGUGUAAGGGCAUAAGUUGGCUUGACUGGCAACCGCAUAAUGAGGUUGGCAGAGACGAAAGUCGGACCUAACGAACCACUACGCCUUCUAAGUGAGGGCUAUUGAUGUCAGAAAAGCUACCCCGGGGAUAACAGAGUCGUCGCCGGCAAGAGUACAUAUCGACCCGGCGGCUUGCUACCUCGAUGUCGGUUCUUUCCAUCCUGGCAGUGCAGCAGCUGCCAAGGGUGAGGUUGUUCGCCUAUUAAAGGAGAUCGUGAGCUGGGUUUAGACCGUCGUGAGACAGGUCGGUUACUAUCUGUUAGGGGUGCAAGAAAGUCUGAGGGGAAGUUGCUUUUAGUACGAGAGGAACAAGGCAACGGCGUCACUAGUCUACCAGUUGUCCGACAGGGCAUCGCUGGGCAGCCACACGCUAAGUUGUAAGGGCUGAAAGCAUCUAAGCCCGAAAAACACCCUGAAAAGAGACUUUCACACGGACACUCAUAAAAGAUGAGUUAGAUAGAGUUGAGGUGUACACACCAAGGUAACGAGGUGCUCAGCCUGCAACCACUAAAAGUCCAACCCGCCAAAAAA
rfam:Tncultured methanogenic archaeon RC-I complete genome